AGACCUGAAGAGAGAAGCAGGGUCUAAUCCGUAGCUUCUGUAACAGCUGUUGAUCAGCAUUUACCUCUCUCUUUCUCUCCA
rfam:Myotis davidii contig148169, whole genome shotgun sequence.